AGUUUGAUCCUGGCUCAGAACGAACGCUGGCGGCGUGGAUAAGACAUGCAAGUCGAACGAGAGAAUUGCUAGCUUGCUAAUAAUUCUCUAGUGGCGCACGGGUGAGUAACACGUGAGUAACCUGCCCCCGAGAGCGGGAUAGCCCUGGGAAACUGGGAUUAAUACCGCAUAGUAUCGAAAGAUUAAAGCAGCAAUGCGCUUGGGGAUGGGCUCGCGGCCUAUUAGUUAGUUGGUGAGGUAACGGCUCACCAAGGCGAUGACGGGUAGCCGGUCUGAGAGGAUGUCCGGCCACACUGGAACUGAGACACGGUCCAGACACCUACGGGUGGCAGCAGUCGAGAAUCAUUCACAAUGGGGGAAACCCUGAUGGUGUGACGCCGCGUGGGGGAAUGAAGGUCUUCGGAUUGUAAACCCCUGUCAUGUGGGAGCAAAUUAAAAAGAUAGUACCACAAGAGGAAGAGACGGCUAACUCUGUGCCAGCAGCCGCGGUAAUACAGAGGUCUCAAGCGUUGUUCGGAAUCACUGGGCGUAAAGCGUGCGUAGGCUGUUUCGUAAGUCGUGUGUGAAAGGCGCGGGCUCAACCCGCGGACGGCACAUGAUACUGCGAGACUAGAGUAAUGGAGGGGGAACCGGAAUUCUCGGUGUAGCAGUGAAAUGCGUAGAUAUCGAGAGGAACACUCGUGGCGAAGGCGGGUUCCUGGACAUUAACUGACGCUGAGGCACGAAGGCCAGGGGAGCGAAAGGGAUUAGAUACCCCUGUAGUCCUGGCAGUAAACGGUGCACGCUUGGUGUGCGGGGAAUCGACCCCCUGCGUGCCGGAGCUAACGCGUUAAGCGUGCCGCCUGGGGAGUACGGUCGCAAGAUUAAAACUCAAAGAAAUUGACGGGGACCCGCACAAGCGGUGGAGUAUGUGGCUUAAUUCGAUGCAACGCGAAGAACCUUACCUGGGCUUGACAUGUAAUGAACAACAUGUGAAAGCAUGCGACUCUUCGGAGGCGUUACACAGGUGCUGCAUGGCCGUCGUCAGCUCGUGUCGUGAGAUGUUUGGUUAAGUCCAGCAACGAGCGCAACCCCUGUUGCCAGUUACCAGCACGUGAAGGUGGGGACUCUGGCGAGACUGCCCAGAUCAACUGGGAGGAAGGUGGGGACGACGUCAGGUCAGUAUGGCCCUUAUGCCCAGGGCUGCACACGUACUACAAUGCCCAGUACAGAGGGGGCCGAAGCCGCGAGGCGGAGGAAAUCCUGAAAACUGGGCCCAGUUCGGACUGUAGGCUGCAACCCGCCUACACGAAGCCGGAAUCGCUAGUAAUGGCGCAUCAGCUACGGCGCCGUGAAUACGUUCCCGGGUCUUGUACUCACCGCCCGUCA
rnacentral:rRNA from 1 species